rnacentral:rRNA from 1 species
AAAGCCUCUAAGCAUCAGGUAACAUCAAAUCGUACCCCAAACCGACACAGGUGGUCAGGUAGAGAAUACCAAGGCGCUUGAGAGAACUCGGGUGAAGGAACUAGGCAAAAUGGUGCCGUAACUUCGGGAGAAGGCACGCUGAUAUGUAGGUGAAGCGACUUGCUCGUGGAGCUGAAAUCAGUCGAAGAUACCAGCUGGCUGCAACUGUUUAUUAAAAACACAGCACUGUGCAAACACGAAAGUGGACGUAUACGGUGUGACGCCUGCCCGGUGCCGGAAGGUUAAUUGAUGGGGUUAGCGGUAACGCGAAGCUCUUGAUCGAAGCCCCGGUAAACGGCGGCCGUAACUAUAACGGUCCUAAGGUAGCGAAAUUCCUUGUCGGGUAAGUUCCGACCUGCACGAAUGGCGUAAUGAUGGCCAGGCUGUCUCCACCCGAGACUCAGUGAAAUUGAACUCGCUGUGAAGAUGCAGUGUACCCGCGGCAAGACGGAAAGACCCCGUGAACCUUUACUAUAGCUUGACACUGAACAUUGAGCCUUGAUGUGUAGGAUAGGUGGGAGGCUUUGAAGUGUGGACGCCAGUCUGCAUGGAGCCGACCUUGAAAUACCACCCUUUAAUGUUUGAUGUUCUAACGUUGGCCCGUAAUCCGGGUUGCGGACAGUGUCUGGUGGGUAGUUUGACUGGGGCGGUCUCCUCCUAAAGAGUAACGGAGGAGCACGAAGGUUGGCUAAUCCUGGUCGGACAUCAGGAGGUUAGUGCAAUGGCAUAAGCCAGCUUGACUGCGAGCGUGACGGCGCGAGCAGGUGCGAAAGCAGGUCAUAGUGAUCCGGUGGUUCUGAAUGGAAGGGCCAUCGCUCAACGGAUAAAAGGUACUCCGGGGAUAACAGGCUGAUACCGCCCAAGAGUUCAUAUCGACGGCGGUGUUUGGCACCUCGAUGUCGGCUCAUCACAUCCUGGGGCUGAAGUAGGUCCCAAGGGUAUGGCUGUUCGCCAUUUAAAGUGGUACGCGAGCUGGGUUUAGAACGUCGUGAGACAGUUCGGUCCCUAUCUGCCGUGGGCGCUGGAGAACUGAGGGGGGCUGCUCCUAGUACGAGAGGACCGGAGUGGACGCAUCACUGGUGUUCGGGUUGUCAUGCCAAUGGCACUGCCCGGUAGCUAAAUGCGGAAGAGAUAAGUGCUGAAAGCAUCUAAGCACGAAACUUGCCCCGAGAUGAGUUCUCCCUGACUCCUUGAGGGUCCUGAAGGAACGUUGAAGACGACGACGUUGAUAGGCCGGGUGUGUAAGCGCAGCGAUGCGUUGAGCUAACCGGUACUAAUGAACCGUGAGGCUUAACCUU